UCAGGAAUGAACCUGAGAAUAAAAAUAUUAUCUAGAAGAAUCUUCUACACUAGAUGUUCCAAAAUCUUUUCUACCCAUGCCAAGCCACUGACUACCUUUCUCCAUCCCAAGUUUGUAACUGCUAAUAAAGCAAGGAGAAGUCUCUAGCUUUAGAGAGAUGGAGUACAUAAAGGUUUCUACUGUGUCACAUGAGACAUACGUGGAAUGGGCACCCUUGAAUCUGGUCAAUGUAAGGAAAGAUGUUUAACAGGUAAGCCAUGGCACAUCACAAUGACAUAAUCAGUAGGCCCUCCCUGAAACAUCUAUUGAAACCUGGAGAGGACUAGCUUCUUCUGUGAUGUCACAAGUGUUGUCGUGACUGCAACUCCCUUCAGAUAUCCCCUCAGUACCUCUAGUGUUUACUAAUUUAACUCUAAUCGAGAGUAAACAGUCAUUGUGGAGUGAGAAGGAAGAGGAUGAUGAGAUCAGAGAUGGUAAGAAGGAAGGUGGUCUUCUGUCUUGUUAUAAAAAAAGGAUGAAAUACAUGGUACUUCGGAAAGCUCAAAAAACUCUCAAAACUCAUCCUGGCUGACAAUGUAGAUUAGACGCAUCAGAUGAAAUGAAUUGAAAAACUCUCCUGGGAAUGAAAGUGGUAAGGAAAUCACAUUGAUGUAUCCUAAAUGCAGUGCUAAGAGCAAUAUUCAGACUAGUCUGUGGAGAUGCUGCUGUCAUCAGAGACCACAGACAAUUAGUGGAGAAUGAUUCAGCAUUAAACUGGGAAUGGAAGAUGAUGGUUGAUAUUGUUCUAGUAGAUCUCACUACAUUAAAAAGUGUUUCUUCCAGAUAACUGAAUGAUUAUUGUAAAGCAAAUCCCGGAAUGAACUUAUGAGACCCACCAUCAGCCUGUCAAAUAAUGUGCGAAAGAAGAAAUCUGUGUCUCUCCAGGGACAAAUUGUUGCUUUCAAACCAACAGUAAAGUGUCCAUUCUAUGAAUGAUACAUUGAUAUAUACACAUUAUAGAAGGAUGGAUACAGAGUUUCUUCAGGUCCAUGAAUGAGGUAUUCAGCAGUUGACCUGGAGUAGCAAUGAGGGUAAUUUUUGCCAACUCUUCAGACUUGAGCUCCUUCACUAGGAUCCCCAUGAUUGAAGAAAAGAACAAACUUCAGACAAUUUGUCUCAGAUUUUUAUGUAGUUAAGAUUUCCUGGUCUUGGACCUAGGAAGGAAGGAUAUCUUGCUUUCCAAUUCUUGUUUAUCCUAUAAUCCUCUCUGCUGCAUUCAUGCAAAUAGAUUACUGUGCAUUUCUUUAAUAGGUUACAAUUGCUAUUUUAAUUAUGUUGCCAAGAACUAUAGAAAAAAAGAAGGACUGUAUCAAAGCAUCAUAUGAAAAUACGACUAAGGUAAUGUGGCCAUUGGAAAUUUGUAACUGACCUGAAACUCUUACUAGAGACAAAAUGCCAUAAAAGGUCUUCUCUAGAUAUCUGGUGUAGUAGUUGGUGUUCCCCAACAGACAGUAAAGGAUGAAUCUCUCUGUACAGAGAAAUCGGACUAGUCACAAUGAUCACAGACUAUGGAACACAUAAUUUAACAAUGACUGACUAUUUUUAAAGUCCUAGAAUCCAUUAGUUUAUUAGUCCAAAAGGAAAGAUGUCUUAUCUGGUCAUUGACAUAUGGAUAAAUAUUCAGUAUGCAGGUUCUAAUGUCUAUGAGGAUUUGGUAUCACUGUGAGUGCAAAAAUGAAAAAGUAAAGGCUUCUUUCUUCCAUGUUUUCUACGGGGAUUCAAAUAGAAUGCAUGGUUUAGAAUACAUUGGGUUUGCCAUUCUCAAACAGACCAAUAUCUUCAACUGAACAUUCUUUUCUUGGAAGCUGCACCCUGUCAGCAUGGCUCACGUGUAUGUGAACUGCAAGAUCUAGUCUGGGAAGGCGGUCCUGUUCAUCGAUCCAACCUGCCCCUAAUACUGAAAUACCCAAGACUUCCUCAAUCAACUCCUUUGCAAACAUGGUCUUCUGGGAUUUGAAGACAUUACAUCUACUAACAACACCAAUGCAAUUCAAGAUUACUUUCAACAGCUCCCUGGAGUGAGAAUUGUUCCUUGGGUCCUUAUAUGUAGAGAAAGACUGCAUAGGCAGACACAGUGAUCUAAUCUACCUGCAACAGAAUGAAGAGAUGAUGAUGUGGCUGAAGCAGAUUGGAGCUCUGCAUUUAUUAAAGGGAUGGCAGUAAAAGCCCAUGCUGACAGCAGACAUUCAGACAUGCUGAAGCCAUGAUGAGACUUGAUGUUUGUCACAGAUGAUGUCAGUAUUUUCUUAUGACUGGGAUUUUCAACAAAUUGGCUUUCAUUCUAUUCCUCAUUCCAAAAAAUCUGUUGCUGUAGGCCUCAAACCAUGGGGUAGGGAAACUUAAGAGACAACAGAGGUUUGAUAAUCCAGUCUUCAUUCACUGACUUGUCUCUACCUCUAAGUCCAUGUUUCACAAUCCAGUGCAUUUAAAUCUCCAGGGAAUCAGUUACUGUUUCUCUACCAUGCUGGUCUGCUGAAGUCAUUUUACAGAAGUCCACUUCCAAGUAAUUAUUAAAGCAAUGAAUAUUUUGAAGUUGUUUAUGAUCUACACACAGGCUUUUUACGCCCCAAGCAUGUACCAUCCCACUUCUGCAUUUGCAGCUCUCAGCCAGUGUUCUCGACCUAUCCAUCCAGCAACCCUUAGAUUCCACACUUUGUAUGAGGAUAAUAUUUGAAAAAACAGAAGAAUAGCUGUAGCAUAGUUGUUCUUCUCUGUAGCCAUAUUAACACAGACGGCAGAGCAUAUGAUGCAUUCAUCUCUGUUUGUAGUGUUUAAUUCCCCGUAAAGUCCCAAACAAUUGAGAGUUGAUUCUGUCAGAGUACCAGCAAAGUCAAAAAGGAAAUGCAAAAUUUCAGAAUUCUCCUUCCAAAGAUGUUUUGAAAGAAGUUGUUUGCAAAACACUGUCUUAAUAAAUUUAUUCCAUUCUCACUUUGAU